UGGGGCGUAGCCAAGCGGUAAGGCAACGGCCUUUGGAGCCGUCACUCGGAGGUUCGAAUCCUCCCGCCCCAG
rnacentral:tRNA from 1 species